rnacentral:rRNA from 1 species
CCUACGGGUGGCUGCAGUGGGGAAUAUUGGACAAUGGGCGAAAGCCUGAUCCAGCCAUGCCGCGUGUGUGAAGAAGGCCUUCGGGUUGUAAAGCACUUUCAGUGGGGAAGAAAGCCUUGGGGCUAAUACCCUCGAGGAAGGACAUCACCCACAGAAGAAGCACCGGCUAACUCCGUGCCAGCAGCCGCGGUAAUACGGAGGGUGCGAGCGUUAAUCGGAAUUACUGGGCGUAAAGCGCGCGUAGGCGGUCUGAUAAGCCGGUUGUGAAAGCCCCGGGCUCAACCUGGGAACGGCAUCCGGAACUGUCAGGCUAGAGUGCAGGAGAGGAAGGUAGAAUUCCCGGUGUAGCGGUGAAAUGCGUAGAGAUCGGGAGGAAUACCAGUGGCGAAGGCGGCCUUCUGGACUGACACUGGCGCUGAGGUGCGAAAGCGUGGGUAGCAAACAGGAUUAGAUACCCGAGUAGUC